rnacentral:rRNA from 1 species
AUGGCUUCAGUAGGCGUUGCUCCCUCUGGGCACAAGAACAGCAGCGGCACCAGCAUGGGUGCUGAGAAGCUACCAGAUCAGAUGAACGAUUUGAAGAUAAGAGAUGAUAAGGAAGUGGAAGCUACUAUUAUUAAUGGCAAGGGAACAGAGACUGGACACAUAAUUGUCACAACUACUGGUGGCAAAAAUGGUCAGCCGAAACAGACCGUGAGCUACAUGGCUGAGCGGAUUGUUGGUCAAGGUUCAUUUGGUAUUGUAUUCCAGGCUAAAUGUUUGGAGACAGGGGAAACUGUUGCCAUUAAGAAGGUCCUUCAGGAUAAGCGCUACAAGAACCGUGAGCUACAGACCAUGCGCCUGCUUGACCACCCAAAUGUUGUAGCUCUGAAGCAUUGUUUCUUUUCUACAACUGAGAAGGAUGAACUGUAUCUAAACUUGGUUCUUGAGUAUGUGCCUGAGACUGUCCAUCGUGUUGUCAAGCAUUACAACAAGAUGAACCAGCGCAUGCCACUAAUCUAUGUUAAGCUGUAUACGUACCAGAUAUGUAGGGCUCUGGCUUACAUUCAUGGCAGCAUUGGAGUUUGCCACAGGGAUAUCAAGCCGCAAAAUCUUCUGGUAAACCCACACACUCACCAGCUGAAACUGUGUGACUUUGGGAGUGCAAAAGUUCUUGUUAAGGGAGAACCGAACAUAUCGUACAUUUGUUCCCGAUACUAUAGGGCUCCAGAGCUCAUAUUUGGUGCUACCGAGUACACUACAGCCAUUGACAUUUGGUCUGCUGGAUGUGUUCUUGCUGAGCUUAUGCUAGGGCAGCCUCUGUUUCCUGGUGAAAGUGGUGUGGACCAGCUUGUUGAAAUCAUCAAGGUCCUUGGUACUCCUACAAGGGAAGAAAUUAAAUGCAUGAACCCCAAUUAUACGGAGUUCAAAUUCCCACAGAUUAAAGCACACCCAUGGCACAAGGUAUUCCAUAAAAGGAUGCCACCUGAAGCUGUUGAUCUAGUCUCUCGGCUCCUCCAGUACUCGCCCAACCUAAGAUGCACUGCUGUGGAGGCACUUGUUCACCCCUUCUUUGAUGAGCUUCGGGACCCGGGUACCCGCCUUCCGAAUGGCCGCUUUCUGCCUCCUCUUUUUAACUUCAAGCCUAACGAACUGAAAGGAAUCCCAGCGGAUGUUGCGGCAAAAUUGAUCCCAGAACACGCGAGAAAGCAGAGCCCCCAUGCAUGA